UACGUAGGGACCAAGCGUUGUUCGGAUUUACUGGGCGUAAAGGGCGCGUAGGCGGCAAUUCAAGUCAGUUGUGAAAUCUCCGAGCUUAACUCGGAACGGUCAACUGAUACUGUUUUGCUAGAGUACAGAAGGGGCAAUCGGAAUUCCUGGUGUAGCGGUGGAAUGCGCAGAUAUCAGGAGGAACACCCGUGGCGAAGGCGGCUCUCUGGGACGGUACUGACACUGAGACGCGAAAGCGUGGGGAGCGAACAGG
rnacentral:rRNA from 1 species